UCUUUCUUGCUAGUAGACUUUCAUGGUCUCUCUCUCUCUCUCUCUCUCUCUCUCUCUCUCUCUGUCUCUCCCCCCCACCUUUUGCUGGCAGAAGAAAUCUUAAAAGUUUAAGAAGAAAAUAUGAUAAGUAACUAAGAGAAAUCUCUGGUUAAUACUCAACAUAAGUCCCUCAGUCCAACAAUAUUCCAUGCAUGAAAUCCUGCCAAUAACCAGGUUAAAGAGAGAUCAUGAAUCAGAGGACCCAGUUCAGCUGUGAUCAGAGUCCUGGCCCAUUGCAACUUUGAGAUAAGUGCAUGUUGUUUAGGAUGCAAAACUUGUGGUUAUUUGUUUCACAAAAAUAAGUAACUUAUAAAAAUGCUCUAUACUCUUGAUCCUCAUUAUCAGUGAAACAUCUCAUUAUUGAUGCAGGGACAUUGAAUUCCUUAAAAAUUGAGGCAAACUAUCUUGAAAACAAAGCCCAAAGAGUUGUUGUAUUUUCAUAUACCCUCCUUCACCUGCUAGAAAUCAAGUUAAAGAAGUCACAAUCAUUAUUACUGUUGUAGAAAAGGUACUCCUUUUCCUUUAUUCAGGCUCUUACUUGUGCUUAGAAUAAAUGUUUGUGGCUUCUAUGGUUAACUAGCUGAAACAUAAAGGCUUUGGUUAUUUUAUGUUUCCUUCGAAGGCCAUUUGUAGUAUUGAUUUAACACACAAGCUCUUUGGACGUUGUUUUUGCCUCAAUCACUCAAGUAGGUGGUUCUGUACAAUGAAGAACACGGCUAAAGGAAAAACAUAGAAAGACAUCUACUCUACAGGUAGGCCCUGCAGUGGCUCUGGAAACAUUGUGAAGUAACUCUAUGCACAAUACUAUUGAUACCUAUUUGGAAUUUUCCUAUAAUGGGACAAAUUUGAUAUACAAUCUAUUUACAUUGUAGAAUCUUUCCUAAUGCACCUGUGUCUCACUGACGGGCUUUUCUUUCCAUACCUGUUGAAUUUGUAUGUUUUAUCUAAUGGAAGUUGAUUUUGAACAACGAUGGAGGAAUUUGCAUACAAGGCAAUACAGCCUCCUAUAUGGUAUUAUUGUUGUUAGGGAAAUUAAUAAUAGCUUCCACAGCAAACAAAGCUAUUCUUAUUAUCUGAACACAGCAAAAGUCUAUUUAUUGCUAUGUCAAAUCUAAUGCAGAUGUUCCUUGGUGGUGGGAGAACUGCCUAUGGUUUUUUAGAGAUCCAUACUACACAUCUUGUAGUUCUGCUAUUUUCCAGAGCUGCAGAGAUGUUACUUGAUCCUUUGCUUUCAGCUGCUAGUCGGGAGAAAGGUAGAAGAUCAUGUGAGAAAGAAUUUUCUGGGCGAGUUCCAGAAAUGGUUUACAUAGUCCACUAGACAAAAGCAAGUCCAACAGCCACAUCUAACUACAAAGGAGGCUGGGAAAUGUAGUCUACUUUUGUGCCCAGGAAGAAAAUAAGAACUGAUAAAUAUAGACUGUCAUGGGGGUAGAUUAAAAUAAUGCAAUAUUAAUGCAAAUAGAUUUAAGACUGCAGAAAUAUGGCACACGAUUUAUGCAACUUAAUUCCAACAUAUAUCAGUAUUUAUAGUAGAAAACUUAUUUUAAAGAAUUCUAUACUAUAUAAAUAAUAAAAUUAGUGUAACAGUACAACAUUAGUGUGUUCUAAUUGUGGUUUUAUUGUAAUGUUACCUUUUGAUAAUAAUCAUCUAACCUAUUUCCCGGUUAGCUCUGUCAAGUUAUUUCCCUUUUCCCCAUUUUCUAUUCCUUUCUCCUUAGUAGGUUAUAUUCCCUUCUCAUCUUCUUCAGGGAAACUCGCAUUUUGUACUAUACCAUAUUGGAUGAAAUAAUUUAUUCUGCAUAAAACAUGUUUGGAUACACUUUCUAGACUAGGUUAGGUUUUCAAAGAAUUUUUAUUGGAAUUAAAUGCUUUCUGCAAUCCUGUACCAUACUAGAAAUAGAAGUUACAUAUGCUGCCUCUUGGGAAGCAGAGCAGGUAAGUGGUAUCCUGGAGUCCAAUAGUUGCAAGAAUGAAGUAAAUGACCAAGAGAUGAAGGAAAAUGGGGGAAAAAUCUAGCCCUUGCUACCAACUUCAACAACUACUAUUUAGUGACUUUUCAUGUUGUCUCAGUGGCCAGAGAGCAUCUGUCCACUGAGCAUCUGAAGGCAUGAAUCUUUUACUAUCCAAGUAAAGGUCACAUAUUGUUAUGCUGUAGCCUAAGCUGAAAGAUGUCAUGGUCAUGACCUUGACAAAUUUCCUAGGCCAUUGGUGUCAGGAUGCACCCUUGAUCUGCAACGUUUUAUAUUGUUCUCUGGGUUUGUUUCCUGAGAAGGAGGUUAUGCUGGACCUGCAGUUCAGAGUGACUUAAGUAACCCUGACACUGUAAUUGGCAAUGUCUGCUCGAAAAGCUGUUAUUAAAAAUAAGUGUUUGAGGCAAAAUUGUUGUUCUUAUUCUGUUCCUUUAUCUCAUAUGGAACGUGAAACUUUAUUUCCAUAUUUGUCUUCUCUUAGCUAGUUUAUAUGCCUCUGAAAUAUUAGGUAUUUUGUAAAAUAAACUUGAAUGUGAAAUUACAUAGAAGUAUCAUUGUAUUGAAUUGGUUAUACCUAAAAGAACAGAAAUCACUUUGUAAUUUGGGCAAACUUUUGUUUUUCCAAUUUGUUACUUUCAUUCUUCCUUUGUUUAUGGUGAUUUUUGUGUUGUGUAUGUGUUUUGUCAAAUAGGGAUCCGUUUAAAAUGAUUACCAAAAUGCAUGUGGGUACUUUUUACAUAAAAAAGCCUGUUGUGAAGGAAUCAAAAGUCAAUAGAUUUAUUGAAAACCUACUCUGUGCAAGGCACUGCAUCAGAAAUAAUAAAUGAAGGGUAAUAGUUAACAUAAAAUGAGUAAUCACUUGAGUUUCUUAAUGUAACAUAUUUUAAUAUAUCUUUCUGUACUUGGUGUAGUCUUAAAUGUUUAAUUACGAGUCAAGAAAAGGCUUUGAAAGAAUUUUAUAGUAUUUUUAAUUGUAAAAUAAGGAUCCCACAUCCCAGAAAUAUUAUUGUCAUUAGUUUGACCCUAAAUCAUAAAAUCAUAGAAUGCUGGGAAAGGAAGAUGUGUUUAACAUUACAUAGUAUAAAUGUUGUCUAGUGCAAUAAUUUCCUGUGUUAAAAUACAUCCAGUGAUUAAGAACCCUUUGCUUUUUCAAGUGGUACAUCUUCUCCCCUCUUUCUCUUCCUCUCUCCCUUUCCUUCCUCCCACUUUUCUUGCUUUCUUUGAUUUUUUUUUUCUAUUGAUAACUAUCCUAGUAGAAUUGUGCUUGAUAUAGUUUGGAUGUUGUCCCUGUCCAAACCUCAUAUUCAAAUGUCAUCCCUAAUAUUGGAGGCUUGACCUGGUGGGAGGUGAUUGAACUGGCUUCGUGCCAUCCUCUGGGUACUGUCCUCACAAUAGUGAGUGAGUUCCUGCAAGAUUCAGUUGUUUAAAAGUGUGUGGCACCUCCUGCUUCUCUGUCUUGCUUCUGCUCUAGCAAUAUUACAUGCCUACUCUCCCUUCAUCUUUCACCAUGAUUAUAAGCUUCUUGAGGCUUCCCCAGAAAUGAAUCAGAUGCCAGGGUCAUACUUCCUAUACAGCCUGCAGAACUGUGAGCCAAUUAAGCCCAUUUUAUUUAUAAAUUACUCAGUCUCAGGCAUUUCUUUAUAGUAAUGCAAGAAUGGAGCAAUAGAGUUCUUUUUUGUGUGCCUCCUGAAAUCUGCCUGCCUUUAAAUUUUGCUCUUUGUUUCUUUUUGUCUUAAUUAUACUUCAAUAUGUAUAUGAUGAACUAAAUGAAUGUUAUUGAGAAUAACUAUCUGGACAUCCACAUGCAAUAUACAUUCACAAUACAUGUGUAUGUUUGUGUGAAGAGGGCAGGAAAAUAUUACCAAGUUUCUGACUCCUUUAGGCUCCUGCAUCUUGUAUAAAUAUGAGCCCACUGACUUGCCAUUUUUGUAAGACCAUGCUGUUUUUAAUAGGACCUCUUCCACUGACAAGUCUUCAUGGUGCCCCUUGUCUGACUAACUUCUAUUUGUCCUACUGUUCCUGGCUACCUGUGAGCACCUUUAGAAAGUUUCCUCUGAGCUUAACCUCUCCCUGGACCCAAUCUAGAUUGGGUGCUUCUGCCUUCUGGUAUCCCAUGCUUAUCCUUAUCAGGGGACAUGUCACACUACUUUGGAAUUGCUUGUUGACAUGCACGUAGGCUUCUCAUUAGGCUAUCAGCAUCCUGAGGGCAGGACUUUCCCAUCUCUGUUGCCCUGGGAUCUUGUACUGUGCAAAGUAGACUCGAAUUUGUUGAAAGUACAAGAAAGGAAAGAAAGUAUAAACAGACUUUUUAAUUCUUAGUCUCAGUUACAAGACCCUGGAAAAGUUGCCCCGUGAUUCAUCCUAUGGUAGUCUCCCUUUUCGGCCUUCCAGGACUCGGUCUUUUUCUACCUCUUCUUCUCUGCCCUUUCUUAAUGGAAACCAAUCUCACUUCUGGCAUCUUCUAUUCUGCCUCUUUGUACAUUAUCUCCAUGAGACAAUAUGGUGGGGUUGGGGACCCUAUGACCUCCCCCCACAUAUGCAUAUUUUAGUCUCUAUAAUAUUUAUUAAAAAUUGUAUCUUUCUAUACCAUCUCAAUAUAAAGUAUUCUGGAUACCAAAUGACUCACAGUUUAUGUGUUAUAAGGCAGGAUUUGGCAUAUUUGUGUGGCUUGUAUGGUUUUUAUUUUCUUUAUCUGUGUUUUCUAAAUUGAUUACAAUAAAAAUGUAAUAUCUCUGUAUAGAAAAUAAUAGUUAAAUUAUUUGAAACAUGAGUUAUUAGAUUUAGCAAUGAGAAGGUCUCCAAUGUCCCUCUGAUAAAAUAUUGGGGGAAUCAUGAAGGAAAAAAUAAGAUUGCAAGGAGUUAAGAUUUCUAAGCUUACUAUAUAACAAUUUGGAACUUUUAAAACCUCUUACCCUACUGAGAUGAACUUCAAUUUAAAUUUUAAAAACUACCAUAUGUUGAUAAUUUCAGGGUAAUUCUAAUGAGUUUAGUUUAAUUGCUCGGGGAUGGGUUAUAGCUUUUAUUUCUUCUUUCUCCAUGGCAAUGGAGAAACUUAAUGUCAGUAUCCAUCAUUCCAGGUACAGUCUCGUUAGUCACUGAAGUCAUGAGGCUGACAUUUGUGGAUUCUGGAGGGGAUAGCCGUGUUAAAACACUCUGCAUUUCAAGUUUCACCUGGAUCAUUUUGGUUUAGACUCUCCCAUGGGAUUCAAAUCUUAGAGUCUUUUCAAAGCACUGUUUGAGAAUGAGGAGUGUGAAAUCUCUCACCAUCCACCAGCAAACACAACAGACAGCUACCAAUGAGUUCAAGUGACUUCUUAAAGACUGAAACCAACAUUAGCUUUCUAUUCUCUUUCUGUCCAAUUUUCUGGGAUUCGGUAGUUCAAAGCAACCAUACUUUACCUCAAGAAGCAGAGGAGGAUCGAAUUCUUGCUGAUCAGAUUCUCUGAAGCCUCAAAGCUGAAAUUAACAGCCUCCUUUGGAUUUUCAUACCUCUACUCAAGGGGAAUUAAGGAGUCAAUUGAUUAAAUCCCCAAAUUAAAGUUAUUUGAUGUCUGUUCCGUGUGCUGGCAACACCCCCUGAAAGCAGAAAGCGUUUAUUUUUUUUUCUGGCCUUAGAGAAUUUCCCUGGCUGCAAGGAUCCUCUUUGCUUUGGCUGAAGUGCAGGAGACUUACCCAUUGAAGCAGCCCUCAGUCAAUUACUGACGGAAGUUGGUGCAUCACUAUCCCAGUUUUCUCACAACUGUGACAAGAUAACUCAGACAUUGACAUAAUUUAUAUUUACUCAUAAAGCUUCCUCAGUUGAAUUAUGUCCUUAUUGCCCUCAGUGGUAACUUGCUUGGUAAAGCACACUUUAUUGAUCUUUUUCCUCUCCUGUCUUGCUUCUCAUUUACCAAUCAGGGUUUCCUUUAUUCCCAAAUAGAUUACUUACACUUGGAUCAUGUCAGGGUCAGCUUCUGGAUGAAUCGAAACUACAACAUUAUCUAAUAUACUUAAGGGACAUGCUUUUGGCUCUCAUAUAUUGCAGGACUAUUAACAUUCUUAAUCACCACCCACUAAAUGCCUAUAGUAGUCCCUGGGCAUUGUGACAACCAAAGUACCUGCUCACACCUCAAAAGCUCCCCCAACCCCCAGGGAGGCAGCAAUAACUAGAGUAGAGCAAUACUACUUAGCAAUACUACUUAGCUCUGAUUGUCUUAGUCUGUGUUGUGCUGGUAAAACAGAAUAACACAGACUGGGUAAAUUAUCAUGAAAAAACACUUUUGAUUUGUGGUUCCAAGAGGCUGGGAAGUCCAAAAUCAAGGGGCUACAUUUGGUGAGGUCCUUCUUGAGUGGCACCAUAUGGCAGAAAGCACCACAUGAAUGAGAGGGAAAGAGAGGGCCUAAUUCAUCAUUUUUCAGGAGCCGACUUCCGAGAUAACUUAACCAUUCCCUCAAUAAUGGCGUUAACCCAUUCAUGAGGGUUCUGCCCUCAUGACCUAAUCACCACUUAAAGACCCCACCUCUCUACUUCGUUGCAUAUGCAAUUUAGUUUUCAUCACAGGAAUUUGGGGAAUAUAUUCAAACAAUUGCACUGAUCUACCAGACAAACCUUGUAAUUCUAGUUUAAAAUAUAUACUUGAAUAAUUGUCUUAAGCUUAUAAUUUUAAGUUAAAAUAAUUCUUCAAAGUUUUGCAAAUAAUAUUAGAAUAUGUAAAAUCAGUUGAGGUUUACUGUAUUUAUUUCUCUAUUAGGUUUAUAGGAAUCAGUUAAGUUCUUGGGGCGUUUUGUUUGAUAUUCAGAUAGUUGAAUUGCAUAUAAAAGAAAAUCAAAUAUAUUAAGUGUAUAAAUGCUGUUUAAAAUAUUUAACGACAUUUAAUUAAGUAAGCCAUAAUAUCUCUCUUAAAAGUCAUACUUAAUUUACUGAAUGUAUACAUAGAAUCACAUGUUUGUAAAUUAAAUCUAAAUGCUUUAUAAAAACUAAGCCUUUGAAUUUAUAGCUUUAAUACAUUGAAUAUUGUAGGCCGGGUGCGGUGGCUCACGCCUGUAAUCCCAGCACUUUG